rnacentral:rRNA from 1 species
UCCUUAGAUGUCCUGGGCCGCACGCGCGCUACACUGAUGCAUUCAACGAGUUCUACCUUGGCCGAGAGGCCUGGGCAAUCUUUUGAACCUGCAUCGUGAUAGGGAUAGAUUAUUGCAAUUAUUAAUCUUGAACGAGGAAUUCCUAGUAAACGCAGAUCAUCAAUCUGCAUUGAUUACGUCCCUGCCCUUUGUACACACCGCCCGUCGCACCUACCGAUUGAAUGGUCCGGUGAAGCCUCGGGAUUGUGGCGAGUUCCCUUUAUUGGGAGUUUGUCGCGAGAACUUGUCUAAACCUUAUCAUUUAGAGGAAGGUGAAGUCGUAACA